GGGCGGGUAACAAAGUGGCUAUGUGGCGGACUGCAGAUCCGCCUACGAGGGUUCAAAUCCCUCCCCGCCCUC
rnacentral:tRNA from 1 species